CUAUUCACAUGCAAACCUAUCCUUGGACUCGUAAAUGUUUGCUAUUUUCUAUGUUUUUAAACGUACGACAAUGUUCAUCUCACCCUCUCUGUAAUGCAGACACAUCAGCUCAUGCCAACCUUGAGAAUGUUCUUGUCAAUAUGCCCAGCAUUCCACGAGGUCAUGACCAUGAUCAUAACAUGAUCAGUGAUCAUGAUCAGCACCGUGCUGGAAGUUAUCAUUAAAUUCCACAGAAGCAGAUAAGGGCAUAAGUCAUUCAAUCUACAGCGUUUGUGUGGCAGGGCUGGGUUCGGUCCUGCGCUGGUCAGGAGUCUGACACAAGGCAGAUGUUCAACAGGCUUGCCUCACCUGUACAGCACUAAUUGCUGCCAGAUCUGAGUCGUCCUCCUAUGAGAAAGAGUCAUUUUCAAGCAUAUCACACUGGCGAUCCCACUGCAUACAUCUAUGCACACCCUCUGCUGUGACUACCAGGUGCAGUCACGAGUCUGCUCUAGGCUGGUGAUGAGGACAGCUGCCAGGGAGCGGGUGCGGCCAACAAUGUCCGGCAGUGCCCGCGCAACAUCGGGUGUGCACGCUUUGUGCGCUGUCAACACGUCCUGAGUGGCCUGUAAUGCACAGUAACACACUCGGCCUUGCAGUGAUCUUUUUUGACACGGAGUAAUGUUGAGGUGCUUCAAGCACACCCCACAACAAUAGCGGUCCGCAUGGUGAUUGCCAGAUGUGGGACUGGUGAAGACGGUAGGCGUCUGAGUCACUCAGCUGUGGUCAUUCAGUUGAAAGACAUCGUUCCCAGUCAAUUCCGGGCUGGUCUGAUGCCUGACUCCGAGCCUUGGAUACAUUCAUACUCAGCGGCCAAAUUGGGAUCCAACACUGGGAAAGAAGUUUGGCGACACGAGCAAGAUUAAAUGCCAGCCAAAAUUUGCAACAUAGUUGGACCAUGAGGAGACAUCAGUGCUUCACUUGGGCCACAUCAGCGCUGGCGCUGACAUCAUCGUGCAGCACAUGCAUCCAGCCUGGCAGCAGGCCCAUGCAGUCCUCCAGCAGCA
rnacentral:lncRNA from 1 species